rnacentral:rRNA from 1 species
GGAUUAGGCAUGCAAGUCGAACGAGGAUAUGUCCUUCGGGAUAUAAGCCGAGUGGCGCAAGGGUGAGUAAUGCAUAGAUUACCUGCCUUUAGGAUAAGGACAACUUUGUGAAAACGAAGCUAAUACUUAAUAACACAAAAGGGAAUAAUUUUCUUUUGUCAAAUGGAGGGUAGCAAUAUCUUUCGCCUAAAGAGGGGUUUAUGUCCUAUCAGCUUGUUGGUGGGGUAAUGGCCUACCAAGGCGAAGACGGGUAGCCGGCCUUAGAGGGUGGUCGGCCACACUGGGACUGAGACACUGCCCAGACUUCUACGGAAGGCUGCAGUCGAGAAUCUUCCACCAAUGCGCGAAAGCGUGAUGGAGCGACGCCGCGUGGGCGAUGAAGGCCUUCGGGUUGUAAAGCCCUGUUGGAUGGGCGUAAUCCCCUCGGGUUAAUACCCCUGAGGGUUGAACUCCCAUCGGAGGAAGCACCGGCUAAAUUCGUGCCAGCAGCCGCGGUAAUACGAAUGGUGCGAGCGUUGUUCGGAAUCACUGGGCAUAAAGAGCACGUAGGCGGCCUCGUAAGUCAGCUGUGAAAUCCCCCGGCUCAACCGGGGAACUGCAGCUGAUACUGCGGGGCUAGAGUGCGCGAGGGGAGAGCGGAAUUCCUGGUGGAGCGGUGAUAUGCGUAGAUAUCAGGAGGAACGCCGGAGGCGAAAGCGGCUCUCUGGCGCGCAACUGACGCUGAGGUGCGAAAGCUAGGGGAGCGAACAGGAUUAAUUACCCUGGUAGUCCUAGCCGUAAACGAUGGGCACUAAGUAGAGGGGUUUU